GAUGAACGCUAGCGGGAGGCCUAACACAUGCAAGCCGAGCGGUAUAGAAUCUUCGGAUUUUAGAGAGCGGCGUACGGGUGCGGAACACGUGUGCAACCUACCUUUAUCUGGAGGAUAGCCUUUCGAAAGGAAGAUUAAUACUCCAUAAUAUAUUGAUUGGCAUCAAUUAAUAUUGAAAGCUCCGGCGGAUAGAGAUGGGCACGCGCAAGAUUAGUUAGUUGGUGAGGUAACGGCUCACCAAGACGAUGAUCUUUAGGGGCCUGAGAGGGUGAUCCCCCACACUGGUACUGAGACACGGACCAGACUCCUACGGGAGGCAGCAGUGAGGAAUAUUGGACAAUGGGUGCAAGCCUGAUCCAGCCAUCCCGCGUGAAGGACGACUGCUCUAUGGGUUGUAAACUUCUUUUGUAUAGGGAUAAACCUCUCCUCGUGAGGAGAGCUGAAGGUACUAUACGAAUAAGCACCGGCUAACUCCGUGCCAGCAGCCGCGGUAAU
rnacentral:rRNA from 1 species